UUUCAGACUUAAAUUGAUUGCACAGAACCUGCUUUUCAUACUUGUGGACGUAGUUAUUAUACAUGUAAGUUUGUUUAUUGCAGAAACGUGUGACAUUCCUGGAGAAUGAGAAUGAGUUACUUAAGUCCGGAGACAAAGGAUUGGCGGAUCUAAAGGAACGGACAACUUAUGUUUCUCAGCAGUUAGUUUCUGUUGUAUCAACUGCAGAACAAAAUCUUAAGCAGAUGUUGUCAGGAGUGGAGAAUUUACGAGUCAUGUCUCAAGUGUUAAAAUCUAUUGACAAAGUCACAGAGGCAGAGGGAGCGUCAGGUGAAAGUUCACAACCAAAGAAGAGCAGCUGACACACUGAGUGGGUCAGAGGUCAUGUGUCAGAAGUCAUAUGUUAGAGGUCUUAGUUCAGAAGAAGAGAGUUUUUCCUUGUAAUUGGAUAAAGAAUCCAUGAUAUAAAUGAAUGAGUUUUCUAUGUAUGCAUCCUCACAAUGCUAGGAGUCCUGAGUUAACACUUUGCCUUGGAACCCCUGGCGAAUUUCAUUAGAUAAAUUAGGGCUUGCUUCUCACAUUGAGAAGCACCAAUCAAAUUAAAGCUUUCAUAAUUAGUUCGAUAAUUUAACAGAAAGGAUUCAGUCGACACCUCAAAUGCAUGUGUCACAAGUUGUUUAUCGUAGAAUGGCUUAAUGUCCUUGGUUGAGAGAUAAGAAAAGCAAUCAAGAUUUGUAAUUUUUUUGAAAGCUGUGGCUACAGCCAGUCCAUGAACUAUUUAUUGAUGUUGUCCAGGGUUCCACGGCAACAUGUUGACUCAGGACCCCCACCAUUACGAGGAUGGUAUUUAUCAGAAGUGAAAUCUUUUUCAAAUAUUGAUAAUAAAUGUGUUCUGCAAAAAAAUUGUAUUUUGUAGAAUGCCCUUAAAUUUAUACAAAAUUUUGCUACAAAUUAAAAUUUUUGUAAUUAGAAAUAGAAGUGUUGCUCUCAAUAAUUGAUGAAUUUAUAAGGUGAGGCAGACUUUGCAACAUUACAUACUUGUGACUGGAACAAUGUAGGACAAUAUUGAUGAAUGUUCAAUGUUUUAUCAUAUUUGUAAUACAGUUUUUAUUUUAUAUUGUGACAACUGUAUUUUAUAAGAAUUGUAUACUUUAAGUAAAAUAUGCGUUGUUA